rnacentral:rRNA from 1 species
UACGUAGGGGGCAAGCGUUGUCCGGAUUUAUUGGGCGUAAAGAGCGUGUAGGCGGCUUGGUAGGUCUCGCGUCAAAACCUGAGGCUCAACCUCAGUUCGCGUGGGAAACCACCUAGCUAGAGUCCGGAAGAGGAGAACGGAAUUCCUGGUGUAGCGGUGGAAUGCGCAGAUAUCAGGAGGAACACCAAUAGCGAAGGCAGCUCGCUGGGACGGUACUGACGCUGAGGCGCGAAAGCGUGGGGAGCGAACAGG